rnacentral:lncRNA from 1 species
AAAUAUUGCAACCUGAAUUAGGAAAGGACUUUUUAGUAAUGUUAUGUUUAGGUGUUAUGUUAGGUGUUAUAGUAUUUUCUUCCUUUUUCCUUUUUUGUAUGCCCCCCCCCCCCCCAAAUUGUAGAACUUGAAAGUAGGAAAUCCUUGGGUAGGGAUAUAUUUUAUUGUUUUCCAGAGAAAUUAGAUUCUGAUUUGGCUGAGGUGAUAAUUAUUUAAAAUAACUAAUUGCCUUCAGCAAUGUGAGUUAGUUGGGAAGAUUCUGCAGUGUGUUAAAAUUAGUGAUUGUCUAGAAAUGUUCUGCAGAGGCUGGCUCACUAGCUUGAUCAGUGUCUUUAGCAACCAGCUGCAUCAUCAGUGCCUGGCUUGCUUCUUGCAGAAGUAGUUAUUGUGGAAGGGAUUAUGAAGGAAAAAAUACAAAUAUAUAUUGUGUCCUACCAUCUCUCCAAAUCAAAACUGCUAUUUCAUCUCAUCUGGGUCACCCCUUGCACACUUAUAACAACUAUUUGUUGGACUUGAUUCUUUAGUGUCAUCACUUGGAGAAACAGUGAUCUCCUUUAUCAGCUGCUUAUGAGACAAGGUAUCCUGGAAAUGGUUUUCCUGGCAGAAGGGUCUGAACCUGGGAAAGCAUCAUGGUCCUGGAAGCAUCCAGUGAGCACUUGCUGGUCCUUGAAAACCUGUAGAAGCUAAUGCGAAUCUCAUGCCAGGCCAUGCCCAUAUGUGCACAGGUAUUUAUCCCAGCUGAUUGUGUCAUUUGUGUGCAGUCAUAUUAGCUUUAGGCCUCUAGCUUAGACAUCUGAAUUAACAGAACAGGUCACCACAUACAGAGUAAUUCCUCCAGAAGAUAAUGCAGAACUCACAGUUCAAUCAGCAUUGUAACUCAACUUAAUUCUCACUGUUUUGCUGUCUUGAGGGAAUAUUGGUUAUAAAGGAAUCUAACUCAGUACCCUGAAUUAAGGAAUCACUCCUUCAGGCAGUGUGACUUAGUCCUAUUGAGUUCAACUGGAAAUUUAUUUUGUUGCAUAAACCAGCAAAAUAUGAUUCAUAUACUGUGAAUGCUCAGCUGAAUGUUUGCAAUUUGAGCUCUUAAUGAAUUUCAGUUCAACAAAUUAAUUGCCAGUUUAGCCUGAAAAGGUUUCAGAGGUACUUGGGAAUAAGAAACACAAUUCAGUUCCGUCCUCUCUGUGAAGAAGCACAUGACCUCUGCGGCUGAGGCUGUGUUUAGAAAAAUUUGUUUUGCCUAUUCAGAAUGGUCAUCAUCAAGCCAGCAAAACCAUUCCAUAAGUGAAGUCACACACCAUGGAUGUUUUUGUUAACUAUUGCUAAGCAUUAAUUCAAAGAUGACAAUUCAGAUUUCAGCCACAGCAAUCAAUGCUCUACUUGAAAACAGUCACAGAGCCAUAAAGUUCUGAACCUACAAAAGCCUUUUAAAAGAUGUUUUAGGAAAAUAUUUGAAGAUAAUUUUGUUAAGAGGCAGUUGUAUCUGGAAGCACCUCAGCUGCUGGGGGUCUGCAGUUUUGUAGUUCAUACACCAUGAAGACCUUUUGGCACACCAGAGGCUUCAUGUAGUGCAGGCACUGAACUGUUCAUUCUUGAUCCUUUGGCUUCACUGAUAGUAUGGGGGAUAUCCACACAGAGAACUCAACAAGCAGUAGCAGGCUGGGUUGUGAAAACACUACGUUUCAAGUCUGCCCAUGUUAACAGAACAAUCUUGGGAACCGCCAAAAAAUUGGUUGUUUCUAACCAGCAACCCUAAGAACUUCCUUCUCCCUCUUUGAGAAUAUCCCUGCAAGGGAUAAAAAAUAUGAAAUACUAAUAGAGAUUUUUGGAGAGUGUCAUUGAAGGGCUGAAUAAAAAUUGUGGGGAAAUAUUGUGUAGUUUUGUG